UACGUAGGUGGCAAGCGUUUGUCCGGAAUUACUGGGCGUAAAGGGCGUGUAGGCGGCCUUUUAAGUCAGAUGUGAAAUCCCAAGGCUUAACCUUGGAACUGCAUUUGAAACUGGAGGGCUUGAGGAUCGGAGAGGGCAGUGGAAUUCCCAGUGUAGCGGUGAAAUGCGUAGAUAUUGGGAGGAACACCAGUGGCGAAGGCGACUGCCUGGACGACACCUGACGCUGAGGCGCGAAAGCUAGGGGAGCAAACGGG
rnacentral:rRNA from 1 species